rnacentral:rRNA from 1 species
UACGGCGAGUGAAGCGGCAAAAGCUCAAAUUUGAAAUCUGGUACCUUCGGUGCCCGAGUUGUAAUUUGGAGAGGGCAACUUUGGGGCCGUUCCUUGUCUAUGUUCCUUGGAACAGGACGUCAUAGAGGGUGAGAAUCCCGUGUGGCGAGGAGUGCGGUUCUUUGUAAAGUGCCUUCGAAGAGUCGAGUUGUUUGGGAAUGCAGCUCUAAGUGGGUGGUAAAUUCCAUCUAAAGCUAAAUAUUGGCGAGAGACCGAUAGCGAACAAGUACAGUGAUGGAAAGAUGAAAAGAACUUUGAAAAGAGAGUGAAAAAGUACGUGAAAUUGUUGAAAGGGAAGGGCAUUUGAUCAGACAUGGUGUUUUGUGCCCUCUGCUCCUUGUGGGUAGGGGAAUCUCGCAUUUCACUGGGCCAGCAUCAGUUUUGGUGGCAGGAUAAAUCCAUAGGAAUGUAGCUUGCCUCGGUAAGUAUUAUAGCCUGUGGGAAUACUGCCAGCUGGGACUGAGGACUGCGACGUAAGUCAAGGAUGCUGGCAUAAUGGUUAUAUGCCGCCCGUCUUGAAACACGGACCAAGGAGUCUAACGUCUAUGCGAGUGUUUGGGUGUAAAACCCAUACGCGUAAUGAAAGUGAACGUAGGUUGGGGCCUCGCAAGAGGUGCACAAUCGACCGAUCCUGAUGUCUUCGGAUGGAUUUGAGUAAGAGCAUAGCUGUUGGGACCCGAAAGAUGGUGAACUAUGCCUGAAUAGGGUGAAGCCAGAGGAACUCUGGUGGA